rnacentral:rRNA from 1 species
CGCCAGACUCCUACGGGAGGCAGCAGUGGGGAAUAUUGCACAAUGGGGGGAACCCUGAUGCAGCGACGCCGCGUGAGUGAAGAAGUAUUUCGGUAUGUAAAGCUCUCUCAGCAGGGAAGAAAAUGACGGUACCUGACUAAGAAGCCCCGGCUAACUACGUGCCAGCAGCCGCGGUAAUACGUAGGGGGCAAGCGUUAUCCGGAUUUACUGGGUGUAAAGGGGGCGCAGACGGCGAUGCAAGCCAGGAGUGAAAGCCCGGGGCCCAACCCCGGGACUGCUCUUGGAACUGCGUGGCUGGAGUGCAGGAGGGGCAGGCGGAAUUCCUGGUGUAGCGGUGAAAUGCGUAGAUAUCAGGAGGAACACCGGUGGCGAAGGCGGCCUGCUGGACUGCAACUGACGUUGGGGCCCGAAAGCGUGGGGAACAAACAGGAUUAGAUACCCGCGUAAC